rnacentral:misc_RNA from 1 species
GAUCCGCUGACAUGAAUGAGUGUUGUUCAAGAGACAACACUCAUUCAUGUCAGUUUUUUACGCGUG